UACGAAGGGGGCGAGCGUUGUUCGGAAUUACUGGGCGUAAAGGGCGCGCAGGCGGUCCUUCAAGUCAGAUGUGAAAGCCCCGGGCUCAACCUGGGAAUUGCGAUGAAGACUGCAAGGCUUGAAUCUGGCAGAGGGGGGUAGAAUUCCACGUGUAGCAGUGAAAUGCGUAGAGAUGUGGAGGAACACCGAUGGCGAAGGCAGCCCCCUGGGUCAAGAUUGACGCUCAUGCACGAAAGCGUGGGGAGCAAACAGG
rnacentral:rRNA from 1 species